UCGAGCGAUAGCUCAGUUGGCGUAGAGCGGAGGACUUGUAGAUUGUGCAGUGAUCCUUUACGCGGUGUGUUCGAAUCCGCCUCGCCGAG
rnacentral:tRNA from 1 species